rnacentral:tRNA from 1 species
GCCCGGGUGGUGGAAUCGGUAUACACAGCGGACUUAAAAUCCGUGCCUUAUGGCAUGCGGGUUCGAGCCCCGCCCCGGGCACCA